rnacentral:rRNA from 1 species
GACGAACGCUGGCGGCGUGCUUAACACAUGCAAGUCGAACGGAAAGGCCCUGCUUUUGUGGGGGGCUCGAGUGGCGAACGGGGGUGAAACGCGUGAGUAACCUGCCCGUGACUUUGGGAUAACUUCAAGAAACGGGGGCUAACACCGGACAGCAGCCUCUGCCGCAUGGUGGGGGGGGGAAAGUUUCGGUGGUUUGGGAUGGACUCGCGGCUUAUCAGCUUGUUGGUGGGGUAGUGGCUUACCAAGGCUUUGACGGGUAGCCGGCCUGAGAGGGUGACCGGCCACAUUGGGCCUGGGCUCCGGCCCGGACUCCUACGGGAGGCAGAAGUGGGGAAUAUUGCACAAUGGGCGGAAGCCUGAUGCAGCACCGCCGCGUGCGGGAUGACGGCCUUCGGGUUGUAACCCGCUUCCGCAUGUGACGAGGCGUGAGUGACGGUACUGGGUAAAGAAGCACCGGCUAACUACGUG